AUUGAACGCUGGCGGCAGGCCUAACACAUGCAAGUCGAACGAGUGGCGGACGGGUGAGUAAUGUCUGGGAAACUGCCUGAUGGAGGGGGUUAACUACUGGAAACGGUAGCUAAUACCGCAUACCAUCGGAUGUGCCCCGAUGGGCUUAGCUAGUAGGUGGGGUAACGGCUCACCUAGGCGACGAUCCCUAGCUGGUCUGCGAGGAUGACCAGCCACACUGGAACUGAGAGACGGUCCAGACUCCUACGGUAGGAAGCAGUGGGGAAUAGUGCACAAUUGGAGAAAGCCUGAUGCAGCCAUGCCGCGUGUAUGAAGAAGGCCUGCGGGUUGUAAAGUACUUUCAGCGGUGAGGCGUUACCCGCAGAAGAAGCACCGGCUAACUCCGUGCCAGCCGCCGCGGUAAUUC
rnacentral:rRNA from 1 species